rnacentral:rRNA from 1 species
AACGAGAAAGGGGCUUCGGCCCUGAGUAAGUGGCGCACGGGUGAGUAACACGUAGGUACCUGCCUCUGAAUGGGAUAACUCGUCGAAAGAUGGGCUAAUACCAAAUAAGACCACGGGGUCUUUCG